rnacentral:misc_RNA from 1 species
AAUUCUAUUUCAAAUUCUAAGACAAUAUGGAUAUAAAGUGUCUUGUGAUGUGUUCAACAAAUUCAAGGAUGAUGGAGGGUUCAAGAAAACUAUCGCAAGUGAUGUGAAAGGCCUCCUUAGCUUAUACGAAGCUACCUUUUUAAGUGUUCAUGGAGAAGAUAUUUUCGAUGAAGUUGUUUCUUUUACAAGGCAACACCUGGAAACCUUAGUUGCGCAAUCAAGCCCUCAUCUUGCAAAUUAUAUGAGAAAUGCUUUGAAGCAACCAUUCCACCGUAGCAUAGAAAGAGUAGAGGCCAAGAAAUACAUAGUCUUCUAUGAAGGAGAGGAGUCUCGGGAUGAAACUCUGCUUAGGUUUGCAAAGCUGGACUACAAUCGAGUACAAUUAUUAUACAGACAAGAGCUGGCCUCACUCUCAAGAUGGUGGAAGGACUUGGAUGUGGCGGAAAAGCUUCAUUACUCAAGGGACAGGAUUGUGGAGGCCUAUCUGUGGGCAGUUGGACCCCAUUUCGAACCUCAGGAUUCUCUUUCUCGGAUGCUGAUGGCAAAAUCUAUAGAAAUCAUAACAAUAGUAGAUGACACGUACGAUGAAUAUGCUACAAUCGAUGAACUUCAACGUUUUACUGCUGCAAUUGAGAGGUGGAACAUUGGUGCCAUUGAUGAGUUACCAGAAUACAUGAAAGUUCUUUACAAGUUAAUCUUAAACUUUUUUGAUGAAAUAGAAAAGGAUGGCUACAACACUUGUUAUGCGAAGGAGACUUUUAAGGAAAUGGUGAGGUCCAACUAUGUUCAGGCACAAUGGUUUAACGAUGGGUAUAUACCAGCAUUUGAUGAGUACAUGCGCAAUGGAGUAGUGUCAGUUGGGUAUGAAGCAGUUCGAGCAGCAUCCUUCAUUGGAAUGGAAAAUAUUGUAGGGACUACGGAACUCCAAUGGUUAGAAACCAAUCCAAAAAUUGUCCAAGCUGCCAAGUUAAUAACUCGCCUGAAAAAUGAUAUAGCAGCUCGCGAGGUAUGAAUAUGAUAUCGUUUUAUCGUCUCUAAGUUUAAUUAAGUGCUAACUAUAACAUAUAUGAUCUAAAUAUUGAUUUGAAGGGUGAACAAAAGAAGGAUGGUCCUUCAACUUUACGUUGCUACAUGAAUGAACACGGUGUAUCACGAGAGAAGGCAAUUGAAGAGUUUAAAAAAAUGUGUGAAAAUGCCUGGAAGGACAUGAAUGAGGAUUGCAUGAAGCCAACUGCUGUGUCUAGGACUUUGCUUAACUACAAUCUCAACAUUGCACGCUCCCUAGAAUUUUUUUAUUUGCACGGCGAUUACUUCACGUAUGCUGUAUGUUUGAAAGAUUACGUUAAAUCAUUGUUCCUGGAGGAACUGCCUCUGUAAGAAAAUGGAUUCAACUUGUGUUUGAUCUUGUUUGGAUCAUGAUGACCAUGAUAAUAUCUCUGUCUGUGUGUUUCUUCGAAAUAAGGCAGACAUCCAAUAAUUGAGUUUUAUGUUGAGGAUUGACCAGUUCUGCGUUUGGGUUUGUAAUAUCGUACUUUU